CUUGCUUCUCUUGAGAGCGGCGGACGGGUGAGUAAUGCCUAGGAAUCUGCCUGGUAGUGGGGGAUAACGUUCGGAAACGGACGCUAAUACCGCAUACGUCCUACGGGAGAAAGCAGGGGACCUUCGGGCCUUGCGCUAUCAGAUGAGCCUAGGUCGGAUUAGCUAGUUGGUGGGGUAAUGGCUCACCAAGGCGACGAUCCGUAACUGGUCUGAGAGGGUGAUCAGUCACACUGGAACUGAGACACGGUCCAGACUCCUACGGGAGGCAGCAGUGGGGAAUAUUGGACAAUGGGCGAAAGCCUGAUCCAGCCAUGCCGCGUGUGUGAAGAAGGUCUUCGGAUUGUAAAGCACUUUAAGUUGGGAGGAAGGGUUGUAGAUUAAUACUCUGCAAUUUUGACGUUACCGACAGAAUAAGCACCGGCUAACUCUGUGCCAGCAGCCGCGGUAAUACAGAGGGUGCAAGCGUUAAUCGGAAUUACUGGGCGUAAAGCGCGCGUAGGUGGUUUGUUAAGUUGGAUGUGAAAUCCCCGGGCUCAACCUGGGAACUGCAUUCAAAACUGACUGACUAGAGUAUGGUAGAGGGUGGUGGAAUUUCCUGUGUAGCGGUGAAAUGCGUAGAUAUAGGAAGGAACACCAGUGGCGAAGCGACCACCUGGACUAAUACUGACACUGAGGUGCGAAAGCGUGGGGAGCAAAC
rnacentral:rRNA from 1 species